ensembl:lincRNA
AGCGCCAGCAGUCUACGGCGGCGAGGUGUAAACAUCAAAAUCGACAGAUUUUUCAUAGCCUUGCAGUGCAGAUGGCAGACUCUCCACAGAAAGAACGCAGACAAAAGAUGGCAGAUAAAGUGUCCUGUCCCCAGAGGCUAAUAGACCUACCUGUUUGACCUGAAUCACACAAUCACAUUAUUAAAUUAUAACUCCCUCCAAAAGCUCUCCAGGGGAUGUGUGCGUGAGAAGAAGGCUGUGGACGCUGGGCUUUGGGGAAAUGAAGGCUUUAGGAUUCGUUAUUAAACCAGUGCUGUAUCAUCCCUCACAGACCCCCUGCGGUUCCCCACAACAGCUUCUCCGUUCGGAAACCAAACGCUUCUGUGUGAAACCAAUGUCAAACGGUAACUUAUUCAAAAAUAAGUCAAGCUAUUAGUCUUUUUGUAGCGCUUUAUUAUGAAUGUCAUUUUUGAAGCAUGUGAUUGACUGUAGAGCAGCUCUACAGAUCCUAACUGAGCGAGCCAAAGGCGACAGUUGCAACCUUAACUCAACCAAUUGACGUAAAUGGUGAAACAGACAUUAGCCAACUUGUCCAUCAUAACAUAGCAGCUUGUCCAUCCGCAAUCUAAAUGCUUCUGUGUAAAACCACCGUCAAACUGUAAGUAAUAGUUCACCCAAAAAUGAAAAUUACUCCAGUCACCCUCAAGCCAUCCUCUGUCUAUAUGACUUUAUUCUAUCAGACAAUCUGUAAUUUGAAUGGGAUGCUGACAAGGAAGGCGCGGAUCCAAAUGCAAGUUUAUUGAGAAUGAUCAGGGAAGCUUUGGUCACAAUCAGGAGCAAACAGAUGUAUGCAGGCAAAUUCAGAGUCUGAACAAAAGUCUUGGUAAAAUAUACAUUCAAUAGGUCAGUAUAGGCAGGCAGCAGACAACAUAAACAAAUAAACAAGUUGAGGGUCAAAACCAUGGCAAAGCAAGGCAAGGAAAAUGCAUUGUAAUGUUCACAGAGCUGUUUACAAGACUCAGCAAAGAGGUAUGUGCGUGCACUGUAUUAAAGUCCAUCUAAUCAGUCUUUGAGCAGCUCCCAGCUGUGUGAGUGUAAUCAGUCAUGAUCUGGAACAGUUGUGUGUGUGUGUGUGUGUGGUGCAUGACUGGAAUUUGUAGUCCGUAUACCAGUGGAUUUGUAGUCCUUUAGUGAUUUGCCAGGACUAGAUCACUGGUGAUUGUGACUCAAUUCCAGUCAGAGUAGUUUGCGUUUUAUCCUGGAUCUCCCAUGCAGGCCCAUUUUUUUACAUUUCCAAGUGCAUAAAUCUGUUGUAAACAUAACCAAUAUGCUGCCAGGGGGCUUAAUUCAUGUGUUAUGAAGCAGAUCGGUGUGUUUUUUUGACAAAAAAUAUAUAAUAUUUUUUAAUUAUAAACUCAGGCAGCAUGGUGAUGCAGUGGUUAGCACUGUAUUUGCAUGUUCUCCUUGUGUUCGGGUGGGUUUCCUCCGGGUGCUCUGGUUUCUUCCACAA